ACUGCCAUUAGGUUAGUGCCCUGGAUAAUUGUGCCUUCACCUUUCACGCAUAGAGCCUGUUCAGUUCAACCAUCUGCACUUUUGCUUUUAGUUCUUCGAUUGUUGUUUGAUUCAGGCCGUAUUUACAAAAUCACAAAGAUCGUGGAUCAACGUAUAGAGCCUGUUUGUUUGAUUUCAGCCUGUUCGACUUCAAUCUCAGACAAUACACGGACACGGAUCAUGUUGAAAGACGUUAAUGGCUCCUAAACAACCAUCCGGAUGGCAAAAACGUCAAAAGAGGAAACGAGUUGAAGAAUUGUUGAAGUCUCAAAAUUUUGUAUUUUGUUGGCUCCUAAACAAGCAUCCGGAUGGCAAAAAAGUCACUCAUUCAGGCCGCUUACGGCAACGCUCUUGUUCAACACAGUGUCGCAAUACUCUGCAAACUCCAGUUCAUGCCGCCGUGUUAGCUCAUAGAGGGUCGUAUCAUCUGAUCUGAGAUGCUCAUGUGGUUUAGGUAUAUGCUGCAUGAUCUUUAGGACGGAGGCAAACCCUGGACGACGUUUCCUAUGCUGUGUAAGUGCUCAAUUCGUCUAAUAUUUCCCUAAUGUUGAAUCUGUACGUUAGUUCAUGUAAAGAUCUGUAUUAAA